ACGGAAGGCAGCAGUGGGGGAUAUUGCACAAUGGGGGAAACCCUGACGCAGCGAUGCCGCGUGGAGGAAGAAGGUUUUCGGAUUGUAAACUCCUGUCUUAAAGGACGAUAAUGACGGUACUUUAGGAGGAAGCUCCGGCUAACUACGUGCCAGCAGCCGCGGUAAUACGUAGGGAGCGAGCGUUGUCCGGAAUUACUGGUGUAAAGGGAGCGUAGGCGGGACGGCAAGUCAGAUGUGGAAUACAUGGGCUCAACCCAUGGGCUGCAUUUGAAACUGCUGUUCUUGAGUGAAGUAGAGGUAAGCGGAAUUCCUGGUGUAGCGGUGAAAUGCGUAGAUAUCAGGAGGAACACCGGUGGCGAAGGCGGCUUACUGGGCUUUUACUGACGCUGAGGCUCGAAAGCGUGGGGAGCAAACAGGAUUAGAUACCCUGGUA
rnacentral:rRNA from 1 species